rnacentral:SRP_RNA from 1 species
GCCAGGCAUUGUGGUGGGCGCCUAUAGUCCCAGCUACUUGGGAGGCUGAGGCAGGAGGCUCACUUGAGCCCAGGAGUUUGAGGGUGCAGUGAGCUGUGAUUGUGCCACUACACUCCAGCCUGAGUGACUAAGUGAGAUCCUGUCUCUA